rnacentral:ncRNA from 2 species
CUAGAAUUGUAGGGGGACCGGUGUUGCCGGUUGAGAUAGCAUCCUUAAGAUGUUGACUCUUAGAACCUGAUCUGGUUGAGACCAGCGGAGGGAACAUAUUCUUAAACAAA